rnacentral:rRNA from 1 species
GACGAACGGCUGGCGGCGUGGAUUAGGCAUGCAAGUCGGACGGUAGGGCUUUAUCGUAAGAUAGAGUUUGAGAGUGGCGAACGGGUGAGUAACACGUAGGAAUCUACCCUUAAGACGGGGACAACCCAGGGAAACUUGGGCUAAUACCGGAUGAGAGUGCGAGAGAUUGCAUUUAAAAGGAUGGCGAAAGUUGUCGCUUAGGGAUGAGCCUGCGGUCUAUUAGUUAGUUGGUGAGGUAAGAGCUCACCAAGGCGAUGAUAGAUAGGCGGCCUUAACGGGUGGUCGCCCACACUGGGAUUGAGAUACGGCCCAGACUCCUACGGGAGGCAGCAGUCGAGAAUAGUCUACAAUGGCCGGAAGGCUGAUAGUGCGACGCCGCGUGAACGAUGAAUCCCUUCGGGGUGUAAAGUUCUUUUAUAUGUGAGCAGUGCUUCUUAUAUUAACAGUAUGGGGAGAGAGAUAUUAGCAUAUGAAUAAGCAACGGCUAACUCCGUG